ACAAAUAAAAAUAAUGAUAGAUACUAAGAAAUACUUUUAGAUUUUCUUGUUGCGUAAUUAUCACAUCAAAGAAAAAGAGCUGGUGAAACCUAUAAAUGUUCAGCAAUUCUCAACCUAGUUACAUUGUCUAUGUAUUUUCACCUGAGAAACUUAGUUACUCCUACAUGUUGGGAUCAAUCUUGCUGAAAACAUCUCCACUAAGAAGAGGAUUCAACUCAUCAAUUUGUUCAAGACAAUGUCUUCAUCUACACUGAAAUACUGUGCAUAAAAAAAGGGCAUCCCUGCAUAAAAGAAAUUCCUUUGACAUUAAAUAAUCUAUUUCAGGUGUUUAUGGAUUGCUUUCCGUUUGCCUCUGCAUAAGGUAGGUAGUUAAAAUUUACCACUUAACAAAAGGCCAGUAGAACAGUAACUGAAGAGAGAAAAGCCAUUAGGGGCACUCAUUUCUUGACCCGGAAAACUGAUUCAUAAGGAAGGGGAUCUACACCAGGUAAGGAGUUUAUGACCAGUCCCCAUAUAGAUACUUUAAUUCACAUUGUUUUGGGCAGUACCCUUCUUACUGAAAAAGAUUUUGAGAGUCAUAUAACUAAAGGAAAGCAUAUAGCUACAAUUGAGAUGUGGAGCAAUAGAACAUUGUGAAAUGGUGUCGACAAACCACCCUCAUCACAACAAUAACUUAAGGCUUGAGUAAGAAUGUGAAACUGCAAAUCUGAAUGUUGCGCAUAAAUUUAUCCAUAUACUAUCGAGCGCCUAUUAACUCUUUCUGAUGAUUAUAUGUUAUUAUGUCGUCUUUGUCACUAUUCAAUGGUUAGUAAUAUAUGUCAUAUUUAGGGCCAAAGUAGCUUCAGUGGGUACUAAAAGAAUCAAUAUUAUCCCCUUAAGAGAUGAAAAUUUUCUGAAUUGGAUAAAACAACUGAGACGACAUGUCUUCCAAAGAAGCACUUCUCUUUAAGUGUAAAUUUGAGCAAAUAACGUGUAUAUUUUAGUUAUAAUAACAAAGUGUACUUUAAGGAUAAUAUGAUAAUAAGUAUAUAAAGAGAUCUAAAAUAAAGAAUAGAAGAAAAAACGAAACUUGAAAAAUGAAGCAAUAGCAGUAUUAUUUUACACUUACAAGUUUCCAAUUCUUUACUCCAAAUCACUUGCUUCAUCCAACAAUUUAACAUUGUUGUGGUCCUAGUCUCCUAGACCUUUGUAAUUUGUAGUAUUCUAUUGAAUGAAGUAUCUAAUAAUUUAAUGAUUCAAUGAAGUGAAACAAACGCCUCGGACUUAAUAAUUCAUGAACAAGAAUGGAUGACAAAAUUAUUUUUAAAUUUAUAUCUUAAAAAUAUUCAAUGGUUAAUCUUUACUUCAUAUUUUUUUCAAAGUUAUCUAACAAUGAAUUUACUGGUUGAUCUUUAAUAUAUAAUCAACCUUAUAUCUCUUCAGUUGUUGGCUAAUCAUAUGUUGUUCAUUGUUGAAGUAUGGACUCAAUGUACGAAUUAAAAGAAAAUGGAUAAAAUAUUUACCAAGGCAUAUUAAUUUUCUUUCAAUUGAUUAGGCUUCAACCGAUCUUUGUACGCAAUAGGCCUGCAUUAAGCAUAUAGAAUUUCAAAAAUUAGCCACAACACUGCAACAAAGAGUGAUGUAUUCUAAUUCGCAGGAACAAAUCUUGAAUAAAGUAACGUACUAAGGCAAGUAUAAGCGGAAAAGGUCCAAAUAUGCCCUUAUACUAUACGAAAUUGAGCACAUUUGCCCUUCGUUAAUACUUUAGCUCAAAUAUACCCUUACCGUCAUAUAGUUGGCCCAUAUAUGCCCUUAGAGUUACACNNNNNNNNNNNNNNNNNNNNNNNNNCUAAAAAAUUUAACAAAGUAAGAUUGAAAUAAUAUUUAUGUAACCAAAAAUUCGAAAAUCCAACAAAACCGAACAAUCCAAACCGAUAUAAUUGGUUUGGUUUGAUUUUGAUAAAAAAUCAAAAUCAAACCAACCCGUUCCAUGUACACCCCAAAUCUACAUAGUUAAUAAAAAAAAUAAAAAGUGUCCAGCUGAAAAAAAGACUAACAACUCAAAUUUAUAACACUACAACUUGAACUCUAGGCUUUUAAUCAUUAAAUUAUCUUUCUGAAAAUAAUUUAAAUAUUUUAGUUUUUUGAGUAUUGUUAAAGGUUGAGAUAUUUUUAUUAUUUUAAAGUUUAAACCAUAAUUUUUGGAAUAAUUUAAUUUCAUUUAUUUAGAGGGCCAGUGAAAUUGGAACUUGAUUACCUUAUGGGAGAAUUUUCUUAGUAAUUGGAAAUCAUGAGUUUUGUCAAGUGAAAUUGGUGACGAAAAUAGAGAAGACAUUAGUAAUGGAGAAAACGGAUAAGGGAGAAAGAAAAAGGGAAAAAAAAGAAGAAAAGAAAAAAGAAGAAAGAAAAGAGAAAGGUAAAGAAAAAAAAAUACUAAUAAAAAAGAAAUAGUAUUUGUAAUACACUUUAAUACAAUUAAAGAAAGAGCUAAUUAGUUUGGGUGAAUUUCAUUUCGAAAAGGACAUAUAUGGGCCAACUGUGUGACUCUAAGGUCAUAUAUGGACCAACUAUGUGACGGUAAGGACAUAUUUGAGCUAAAGUAUUAACGAAGGGCAAAUGUGCUCAAUUUCGUAUAGUAUAAGGGCAUAUUUGGACCUUUGCCCGUAAUUUAUAUGAAGAGGUAAGAGGAGAUGAAGAGGAAGAUAUUAUUUUUUGGUAACGGAUAGGAAAAUAAUUGCAAACACCUAUGGUUCGGCUUCAUCCCUCUUGCCUUACCUUCAAGAGGAUGAGAUCCAACAAUAUCGCUCUUAACACCCUGAAGCCCAAAGUGAAACGCAUUGUUCCUCACUCUCUCGAUUUCGUGUUGAUAACCUUUGAGUUUGGUGACCAACAUAUUCAAAACUCGUAGCGUCGAUAUUUUGAAUUCGCUAUAAUCGUUAGCCUCAGUAAUUCCCACAAGUAGCUCAAAAGAUGAUAUAAAUCAAGAGAACAUUCAGAAAGUAAAAAAAAAAAAAAAAAAAUUCCCGAAGCUGAACUAUAAUAUGAUCAGAAUGCCAUAAAAGAUCACAUGAAGCUCCAAGAGAAUGCUAUGUCAAUAGGGUCAAAUAACUUUGUGCUCCUUGAAAAAGAAACAGAGAUUUUAAGAAUAAGUUUUUGUAAGCAAUUUAGUAUAAAAUUAAUAGUAAUUAAAAAGCACGUUUGUAUAAAUCCACUUUAUUAAAUGUAGUUCCGGAUGCUUGAGCUCUAAGAUACUAAAAUCAAACCUGCAAAAGUCUUCAAUUAAAAAGCGCUAGUAAUCUGCCAAAGUAUCAUUAACAAAAAAAGGAAAAAGGCAACUACCUUUAGUUUACUUCUUCAUGGAAAAGCAUCCGUUAUGGCAGCGUCAAAGUCCAUUUCUCUAUUUUUUUUAGUUUAUACUCUAUGUCAAAGAAGAACCAAAUUUGAAAUAUUAGAGUUUAGCUUGGCCUAAUUGCUGAUUAAUUUUUGUCAUAUUACAAAAAAAUAAGAGAAAAGCUAGACGUGUCAAAGAAAUGAAUUAUUACUUGCAAUAAUCAUAGUGAACUGCACUAUGAGUCGAAAUACAAUUUUAAAGCAAUGAUUGUUCUUCAAGAUCAGUUUUAAGAUAUGCAUUCGCGAGAAGAACUCUAUUUAAAACAUGUUUUACAUUAUGUACUUAUUCAAAUAUCAUUCGGUGAAUGAUUCAGGCAUAUCAUCAAACAUCUUGGGUGCAUAGUCCACUUUAAUGAUUAUCAUUAAGACUACUCAAUAAACACACGAUUAAAAGAAGGAGGGAGAGAAAGUAGAGAACUUAACUGAAAAAAUAGGUGCAUCUUCGUUCAUCUUCCGCUUUCUCUUCUGAAUAGAAGAGAUUGUCACACAAGCAGUUGUGCAGAUCAUCCAUCCUCAUCUUUCCUUGUUCGUCUCUUCCUUUUUGGAACUGGAUCUACUGAUAAAGUUAUUCUUACAGGAACAAAUAACAAUAGAAAACACAAAUUACGAGACCUAAUCUUAUAGCAUCAAUUUUGAUACCUUGCAAUUAGGUACGAUCACUCAAGAAAUUAUUCAAAACAAUCGAAAACUAACACCCGAGAAAUUACCAACAGAAGAAGUUCAAGUUUUGCAUAUCAUCAAACAUCUUGGAUGCAUAGUCCACUUCAAUGGGAAUUUAGAAAUUACAAACAGAAAAAGUUCAAGUUUUGCAUGUAAAGCAGACUACUUUGAGAAUUUAGAGAGGAAAUGAAGUGCUCCACAAAUAGGAAAUUUCAUUAUACUUUGAAAUCCUAAUAGAAAGAUAUGUUGGUAGAAUGGUUAGAAUUAUAUAAAAAGUUCUGAAAAUGUUACAACUGCAAAAAUAACUGCACAACCGAUACAAAAUGGAUCGAUGUUUCCGAUAUUGAGUCCACGUUCCCAGAGAUUCUCCCUUAAACUUCCUGA
rnacentral:lncRNA from 1 species